CAAGUAGCUACCUACCCUAAUUGAACAAAUGAAGAUGUGACAUGGUCAGCCAUCAAUUACGGCGACAUAUCAAGAACGCCAAUCUCCGGUGAAGUUGAUAGCCUGAUUGUAAUAAAUCAUUGUUCUUAUGCAUAUUUCAGUAGCCGAAUUUCUUCUCCUCCUUUUUUCUCUCCCCUCCAUCAGAUGCCUGGAGCACGCAGCGGAUUUAAUGUGAAGUGACUGGACUUUCCUGUUGUUGUCGUGGAAAACAAAACAACACUGAACGCUGCUUAAAUCAGCUGCUUGAUGCCGAAGGGGAGUGCCACUCAAACUGAAUCCCCUGAGAUGGUUCUUUUUCUCUGGAAGGAUGUCGGCUCUCUGUGCCUGGCCAUCCCUGAGGACGCUUGAUGUCAUCUUGUCUACCUGAUCAUUACACUACCUGCUCUCCUCUACAAUGCUGCCCUCUCGCUGCUCCGCCACUUGAAAUGCUUGGCUGGCCUCUUCUCUGAAACCAUCAUGAAAUUGUGUGCUAAACCGCCGCAGACUGUUCCUCCUCUCUCUCUCAUCCCUCCAGCCAUGUGUGCAGGAGCCAGAAAGAGAUUCCUCCAGUCGGACGACUGCUGCUCAGUCAACAGGAAAACACACAAAACAGUCUUCAGCCUCUCUGCCACCGUUCACCUCUCACAGCUUUUAUUUGAUUUACUGAUGUUUGUAUUGUUUGAUACACUGCAGCGUUAUCCAAGUUAGUCUAAUGGACACAUACCCACAUGUUUAAAAUAAAACAAAUAGAUCUCUCUCUCAAAAUACACUGUGUAAAACAACAAUAAUUUCCCCCUGUAGUUUAUUUGAUGAUUCCACUUGGUAAUAUUCAUGCAUGAUGAUUAUAUAGAAGAUAUUAACAUUGUGUUGUUAAUACAUAUUUCUAAUUCACUAAUGCAGUUUUGAGAAUAACCAUAUUUAAUAUUUCAUAGUUUUGACAAGAAAAAAUCUGUAUACUGGAUCAAGCCGUUGCUUUGUUGCCCUAAAAGAGCAAAACAGGCCUUUUUCAUGGAGGAAACUUGUAAGGAAUGGUACUGUGCAGUAUAUGGCUGUAAUUAAUGUUGUUAGGAACACU